AUUGAACGCUGGCGGCAGGCUUAACACAUGCAAGUCGAGCGGAGAUGAGGUGCUUGCACCUUAUCUUAGCGGCGGACGGGUGAGUAAUGCUUAGGAAUCUGCCUAUUAGUGGGGGACAACAUUCCGAAAGGAAUGCUAAUACCGCAUACGCCCUACGGGGGAAAGCAGGGGAUCUUCGGACCUUGCGCUAAUAGAUGAGCCUAAGUCGGAUUAGCUAGUUGGUGGGGUAAAGGCCUACCAAGGCGACGAUCUGUAGCGGGUCUGAGAGGAUGAUCCGCCACACUGGGACUGAGACACGGCCCAGACUCCUACGGGAGGCAGCAGUGGGGAAUAUUGGACAAUGGGCGGAAGCCUGAUCCAGCCAUGCCGCGUGUGUGAAGAAGGCCUUUUGGUUGUAAAGCACUUUAAGCGAGGAGGAGGCUACUUAGAUUAAUACUCUAGGAUAGUGGACGUUACUCGCAGAAUAAGCACCGGCUAACUCUGUGCCAGCAGCCGCCGUAA
rnacentral:rRNA from 1 species